AUUUGAAGCCUUCGGUUGAUUAUCCAGGAGGGACAGCGGCGUAAGGGAGAGUAACGCGUAGUUACCUGCCCUAGGGUCCAGGAUAGCCAUGGGAAACUGUGGGUAAUACUGGAUAAUAUCUGCUUCCUUUCGAGGAGGUGGAUCAAACGGUGAGAUUCCGCCCUGGGAGGGGACUGCGUCCUACUAGCUUGUUGGUGGGGUAAUGGCCUACCAAGGCUUUGAUGGGUAGCGGGCGUGAGAGCGUGGCCCGUCUCACUGGGACUGAGACACUGCCCAGACACCUACGGGUGGCUGCAGUCGAGAAUCUUCGGCAAUGGACGAAAGUCUGACCGAGCGACGCCGCGUGCGGGAUGAAGGUCUUCGGAUUGUAAACCGCUGUCAGUUGGGAGGAAAUCUGUCGGGGUUCUCCCCGUCAGUUGACCUAUCUUCAGAGGAAGUCCGGGCUAAGUUCGUGCCAGCAGCCGCGGUAAGACGAACCGGACAAA
rnacentral:rRNA from 1 species